rnacentral:rRNA from 1 species
UACGUAGGGUGCAAGCGUUGUCCGGAAUUAUUGGGCGUAAAGGGCUCGUAGGCGGUCCAUCGCGUCGGGAGUGAAAAGCUGGGGCUUAACCCCAGUCCUGCUUCCGAUACGGGUGGACUAGAGGUAGGUAGGGGAGAUCGGAAUUCCUGGUGUAGCGGUGAAAUGCGUAGAUAUCGCUUGGAACGCCGACGGUGAAAACAGCUCGCUGGGGAUUCGCUGACGCUGAGACACGAAAGCCAGGGGAGCAAACGGG